ACUGGGGCUCUACAGGGUUGCUGAUGGUCGAGAAUGCUUGCUGCGCCGCCUCGAGCGACUCCCACCGCGGUUGUCCCAUCCCGUCCCCGUCUGAACCGCACGCGGCGACAGCGCUCCCAGCUCCAUUGGAUGACGACAUAGGGGCGGACGUCGGGUCAACCAAAUCUCCUCCCGCAGGCCCGACCUCCCUUCUACACCUCCCAGACGAGCUUCUCGACGAAAUCAUCGAAUUGGCGUGGCGAGACCUGCCUAAGUACCGGCGCUAUGCGCCCUGCCAUCGCUUACGGU
rnacentral:misc_RNA from 1 species